rnacentral:tRNA from 1 species
AGGAUAAUAGUUAAAUUAACAUUUAAUUUGCAUUUAAAAAAUAUUGUGUAUCAAUUUAUCUU